rnacentral:rRNA from 1 species
GACGAACGCUGGCGGCGUGCCUAAUACAUGCAAGUCGAGCGAAUCUUUUGGGAGCUUGCUCCCAAAAGAUUAGCGGCGGACGGGUGAGUAACACGUGGGCAACCUGCCUAUAAGACUGGGAUAACUUCGGGAAACCGGAGCUAAUACCGGAUACGUUCUUUUCUCGCAUGAGAGAAGAUGGAAAGACGGCUUCUAGCUGUCACUUAUAGAUGGGCCCGCGGCGCAUUAGCUAGUUGGUGGGGUAAUGGCUCACCAAGGCGACGAUGCGUAGCCGACCUGAGAGGGUGAUCGGCCACACUGGGACUGAGACACGGCCCAGACUCCUACGGGAGGCAGCAGUAGGGAAUCUUCCGCAAUGGACGAAAGUCUGACGGAGCAACGCCGCGUGAACGAAGAAGGCCUUCGGGUCGUAAGGUUCUGUUGUUAGGGAAGAACAAGUACCAGAGUAACUGCUGGUACCUUGACGGUACCUAACCAGAAAGCCACGGCUAACUACGUGCCAGCAGCCGCCGUAACAC